rnacentral:snRNA from 1 species
AUGCUCACUUCAGCAGCACAUAUUGGAAUGAUAGCAGAGAAGAUUAGCAUGGACCCUGUGCAAGGAUGACAUGCAAAUUCAUUUAGUAUUCCAUAUUUAU